GUGAGUUCAAGCCCCACGUUGCACUACAUGCUGGGCAUGGAGCCUACUUAAAAAAAAAAAAAUUGAUCCAUGGAAGAGGUCAAAAUAGCAAUAGGAACAGCAGUUUGGAAGAAGCUGAUUUAACCUUCACAGAUGACUUUGAGGGGUUCAAGACUUGAGUAAGUGCAGAUGUGGUAGAAAUAGCAAAAGAAUUAGAAUUAGAACUGGAGCCUGGAGACAUAUCUGAAUUGUUAUAAUCUCAGGAUAAAACUUUUAACGGAUGAGGAGUUGCUCCUUAUUGAUGAGCAAAGAAAGUGGUUUCUUGAGAUGGAAUCUACUCCUGGUGAAGAUGCCGUGGAAACUGCUGAAAUGACAACAAAGAAUUUAGAAAUUACAUAAACUUAGUUGAUAAAGCAGCGGCAGGGUUUGAGAGAAUUGACUCCAAUUUCAAAAGAAAUUCUGUGGGUAAAAUGCUAUCAAACAGCAUCAAAUGUUACAGAGAAAUUGUUCGUGAUGAAAGGAGGAGUCAACUGAUAUAGCGAACUUCAUUGUCUUAUUUUAAGAACUUGCCCCAGCCACCCCAGCCUUUAGCACCCACCACCCUGAUCAGUCAGGAGCCAUCAGUUUCAACAGCAAGACCCUCCACCGGCAAAAAGAUUACAACUCGCUGAAAGCUCAGAUGAUGGCUAGUAUUUUUUAAUUAAGUGCUGUGGAGCUGAGCGUGCACCAUCUAGAAGGGAAUGUCAGACUUUACUGAUCUUUUACAACUGCCACAUCUACCCUCAAGAAGCCCAUCUGGCAUGGGAGGCCAAGACUAGUCCAGAUACCACCACCAAGAGAAUACCAAAAGACCUAAUUACCAUAGGAGAGAUGGCAGAUUUUCCUUCUUGCCAAUACCUACCCUUCUCCUGAGCGGUAUUACAGGAGUUUGCAUGAGUCUCCAACUUGGAAAUAUCAGGUAACUAUAAGCAGAUUUGACUUGGCUUUAUUAGUUGCUCGAACCAUUGCUUGAAUGGAGCACAGUGUCUUAGUGGUACCUAUUGUGUAGAUCAGUAUGGUCCAGAACUUUCUGUGAUGAUGGAAACGUUCUGUGCUGUGCAGUUGGGAUGCUACCUAACCGUGGCCAUUGAGCAUAUGAGAUCUAGGGCUAGAAAUGUACUUUUAUUUAAAUAACCACAUGUGCUUAGUGUAUUGGCCAGUAAGGCCUAGUUGAAGGAUUUGACAAGUGAAAUAGGAACAGAGUUGCUAGGGCUGGCACAGACCCCCAUGUGUACUGUGGGAACCCAGAGUAAUGGGACUAGCCACACAGUAACGCCACCCUGAUUCAGGUUUACUGACUGAAUCUGAAGGAAUAAUAUAUAGCCAGAGAGACCCCUGUUGAAAAUACUAUCCAAGACCUUGAAGUAGGGGACGGUGGCAAGAGCCAGCUGGGAGAAAAUGUCUGGGCUGGUGAGGGGAUUCCCAGCUCUCUCAGCUGGGCAACGAGAGGUUAAUUUUUAGCCACAGAACUUCCUUUUUCAAAUG